GACGAACGCUGGCGGCGUGCUUAACACAUGCAAGUCGAACGGAAAGACCCUGCGUUUGUGGGGUUCACGAGUGGCGAACGGGUGAGUAACACACGAGUAACCUGCCCUUGACUGUGGGGUAAAUUCAGGAAACAGGGGCGAAUACAGGGGAGGAGCUCCUGCUGCGUGGUGGUGGUUGGAGAGUUUCGGCGGUUGGGGAUGGACUCGCGGCUUAUCAGCUUGAUGGGGGGGUAGUGGCGGACCAAGGCUUUGACGGGUAGCCGGCCUGAGAGGGUGAACGGCCACAUGGGGCCUGAGAGACGCCGCAGAAGGCUACGGGAGGCAGCAGUGGGGAAUAUUGCACAACGGGCGGAAGCCUGAUGCAGCAACGUCGCGUGCGGGAUGCCGGCCUUUGGGUUGUAAACCGCUUUCGCCUGUGACGAAGCGUGAGUGACGGUAAUGAGUAAAGAAGCACCGGCUAACUACGUG
rnacentral:rRNA from 1 species